rnacentral:rRNA from 1 species
AUUGAACGCUGGCGGCAGGCCUAACACAUGCAAGUCGAGCGAGCGGCGGACGGGUGAGUACUGUAUGGUGAUCUGCCUGAUGGAGGGGGAUAACUACUGGAAACGGUAGCUAAUACCGCAUACAAUCAGUUAUACCCAUAUGGGGUUAGCUUGUAGGUAAGGGAACGGCUUACCUAGGCGACGAUCCCUAGCUGGUCUGAGAGGAUGAUCAGCCACACUGGGACUGAGACACGGCCCAGACUCCUACGGGAGGAAGCAGUGGGGAAUAUUGCACAAGGGGCGCAAGCCGGAUGCAUCCAUGCCGCGUGUAUGAAGAAGGCCUUCGGGUUGUAAAGUACUUUCAGUCGGGAGGCGUUACCGACAGAAGAGGCACCGGCUAACUCCGUGCCAGCAGCCGCGGUAAUAC